AUUGAACGCUGGCGGCAUGCCUUACACAUGCAAGUCGAACGGUAACGCGGGGCAACCUGGCGACGAGUGGCGAACGGGUGAGUAAUGCAUCGGAACGUGCCCGGUAGUGGGGGAUAACUGCUCGAAAGAGCAGCUAAUACCGCAUACGACCUGAGGGUGAAAGGGGGGGAUCGCAAGACCUCUCGCUAUCGGAGCGGCCGAUGUCGGAUUAGCUAGUUGGUGGGGUAAAGGCCUACCAAGGCAACGAUCCUUAGCUGGUCUGAGAGGACGACCAGCCACACUGGGACUGAGACCCGGGCCCGACUCCUACGGGAGGCAGCAGUAAGGAAUAUUGGUCAAUGGACGCAAGUCUGAACCAGCCAUGCCGCGUGAAGGAUUAAGGUCCUCUGGAUUGUAAACUUCUUUUAUCUGGGACGAAAAAAGGCUAUUCUUAGUCACUUGACGGUACCAGAUGAAUAAGCACCGGCUAACUCCGUGCCAGCCGCCGCCGUAA
rnacentral:rRNA from 1 species